GACAGAGGCCUCGAGCGUUAGGCGGAAUCACUGGGCUUAAAGCGUGUGUAGGCGGAUCGUUAAGUACCUUGUGAAAUCCCACGGCUCAACCGUGGAACGGCUGGGUAUACUGGCGGUCUUGGGCCAUUCAGGGGCGACUGGAACAAGCGGUGGAGCGGUGAAAUGCGUAGAUAUCAUUUGGAACGCCAAUGGUGAAAACAGGUAGCUGGGGCUGUGCUGACACUGAGACACGAAAGCCAGGGGAGCGAACGGG
rnacentral:rRNA from 1 species